rnacentral:rRNA from 1 species
GAUGAACGCUGGCGGUGGGCCUAAUACAUGCAAGUCGAGCGACAGGACGAUGAGCUCUUGCUCUUACGGGUAGCGAGUGGCGGACGGGUGACACGUAGAUCGGCAUCUACUUUGACGUGGAUGAUAUCGGGAGACCACUUCCGCUAAUGCCGCAUACAUCCUACCGGUUGGUUCAGUAGUUCUUGAGGCCUUUCGCGUCUCUUUGAGCCGGUGUCGGAUUAGCUAGUUGGGAGGGUAAGGGCCCACCAAGGCGACGAUCCGUAGCGUGUCUGAGAGGAUGAUCAGCCACACUGGAACUGAGACACGGUCCAGACUCCUACGGGAGGCAGCAGUGGGGAAUAUUCCGCAAUGGGCGCAAGCCUGAUGGAGCCACGCCGCGUGAGUGAAGAAGGCCUUCGGGUCGUAAAGCCCUGUUGUUGGGGAAGAAAAGAUGUAGAAGAAUAUACGGCCGUCCUGACGGUACCCAAAGAAAAAGCACCGGCUAACUUCGUG